CUUUUUCUUUGUACGUCAAAGAACUGUAUAUAAGCUUUGUAAAAUCCUUCAAUGGUAUCUUGGUUCAGUUAAAGUCUCAGUUCUACAAUGAAAGCAAUAUUCGCUCUGUUUGUGAUUGUCGCCAUCAUUGGAAUGGCAAUGGCUGGAGUUCACCAUUACAAAGUUAAUGGCAAUGGAGGAGGUCAUGACUCAGCCCAUCAUGGAGGAAGUAUCUUUGAUGCUGUUGCUAGUGGCAUUAAUGGAAUUUUCGGUUAAAGAAAUACAUUAUAUAAGAUGAAGACUGUAAAAAAGAUGUAUGAUAUUUCAUAUUUUGAAAUAAAAUUUAUUACUGCAUUUACAGUUUUGUUUAUUGCUUAAAUUCUUCAAGCUAUUUAUAAUAUAUUCGUGAAAUGAGACUUGAUCUUCCAGUAAUAAAUAGAAAUAGAAAUUUAUUCUUGCUCAAUUCUCCUUUUGGAAAAUCACCUCUGCCUUUGUAGAAAAGCCUUAGUUCGUAGAAUCUUUGCUUACGGAUACCAGUUCAAUUAUUCCUUUGAAAAAAGCCAUCUAAUAAGAUCUAAUACUUUGUCUAUUAAAAAAAUAACAAAACAAAUAAUAGGUCAAAGAACUGUAUAUAAGCUUUGUAAAAUCCUUCAAUGGUGACUUGGUUCAGUUAAAGUCUCAGUUCUACAAUGAAAGCAAUAUUCGCUCUUUUUGUGAUUGUCGCCAUCAUUGGAAUGGCAAUGGCUGGAGUUCACCAUUACAAAGUUAAUGGUAAUGGAGGAGGUCAUGUGCAUGGAACUGACUCAGCCCAUCAUGGAGGAAGUAUCUUUGAUAGAGUUGCUAGUGACAUUAAUGGUAUUUUCGGUUAAAGAAAUAAAUUGUAUAAGAUGAAGACGAUACUGUAAAAAAAGAUGUAUGAUAUUUCAUAUUUUAAAAUAAAAUUUAUUCCUGCA